rnacentral:tmRNA from 1 species
GGGGGUGUAUUAGAUUCGACACAGGCAGAAGGUGCAUCGGUAGCGAGCCGAGGUCCCGUGCCUCGUUAAACAGCGGGAACCAAAAUAACUGCCGAUCACGCAGAUUACGCUCUGGCUGCUUAAUUAGCGGCCACGCCCCUUUGCAUUUCGCCUACAGGGUGCAAAGAAGGGUGUCAUCGCAUGUAGGCUACUCCGGUCCCACGCCUUUAAGACUGGGGGAAAUUCACAAAGGCUAGCUUACGGUAAAUCGUGCCCUUACGAGUUACCGCAGGCGAAGCUAAAAUAAGGGCUACGCUCGUAGAGACCGGUGUGGCUUUGCUUGUGGACAGCGGUGCAAUUCCGCUCACCUCCACCA